rnacentral:lncRNA from 13 species
GAAGAAUUAAUUUAAAUGCUUUGUCAGAGAGAUGGUGAUCAAGUUCAGAGGAAAGAGAACUGAUUUGAAAAACAAGGCACUACUCAUGAAUAUCAGAAGGAAAGAUAUUCCAGUAAGAGGAAGCAACAAAUGCAAUGUCCUGAGUCAAGGAUCAACUUGGUCUCAUCCCAAUCAGACUUCUGAAGCUUAGUCCAAGAAGCCCAACUCAUUCAAUGGACUCACUGGGACCAACUAACCUUACCAGUUGAGAGAGAGAGAGAGAGAGAGAGAGAGA